rnacentral:rRNA from 1 species
UACAGAGGUCUCAAGCGUUGUUCGGAUUCAUUGGGCGUAAAGAGCGUGUAGGCGGUCUGGUAAGUCCGUUGUGAAAGUCCAAGGCUCAACCUUGGAAUGCCGAUGGAUACUGCCAGGCUCGAGUCCGGAAGAGGCGAGUGGAAUUCCUGGUGUAGCGGUGAAAUGCGCAGAUAUCAGGAGGAACACCGAUGGCGAAGGCAGGUCUCUGGGCCACUACUGACGCUGAGAAGCGAAAGCAUGGGGAGCGAACAGG